AAAGGUGCUGGAUCUGGCUGUGACAUCUGUCACCCCACUGAUUGUCAGGGUUGAUUAGGCUGAUCUGGCUGUCUAGGCAGGUGUCCCCUUCCUUCUUCACUGUUUCAUGUGUGUCCCUCCUGAAGCUUCGUGCUUGGUCAGAGGAUGACCACCCCUGACAGAGGAGGACCGGUUCCUCAGCCAGGGGUGUACGAGUAGCCGUGCUCCCCUGCUAGAACCUCCAAACAAGCUCUCACGAGGAAAGGUGUUUCCUGUAUCUCAGGCUCUGCAGCCAGAGCAAGGUGCAGAGCACGGAGGCCCAGGUUUCU
rnacentral:snRNA from 1 species